rnacentral:piRNA from 1 species
CAGUGUGAUUACCAAUGACUGUAAU